UGUGGUUUAAUUCGAUGAUACGCGAGGAACCUUACCUGGGCUUAAAUGUAGAGUGCUAUUUUUUAGAGAUAGAAAUUCCCUUCGGGGCUUUCUGCAAGGUGCUGCAUGGUUGUCGUCAGCUCGUGCCGUGAGGUGUCGGGUUAAGUCCCAUAACGAGCGCAACCCUUAUCGUUAGUUGCCAGCUGGUAAAGCAGGGGACUCUAGCGAAACUGCCACCGUAAGGUGAGAGGAAGUGGGGAUGACGUCAAAUCAGCACGGCCCUUAUGUCCAGGGCUACACACGUGCUACAAUGGCAGGUACAGAGGGCUGCGAAGCCGCGAGGUGGAGCGAAUCCCAGAAAACCUGUCUCAGUCCGGAUUGAAGUCUGCAACUCGACUUCAUGAAGGCGGAAUCGCUAGUAACCGCGAAUCAGCAGGUCGCGGUGAAUACGUUCCCGGGCCUU
rnacentral:rRNA from 1 species